rnacentral:lncRNA from 1 species
AUGGAUGCGUUUGACGAUGCCAUACUGUCUGUGUUGCAGGCUGCGAAUAUUGACUAUGAAGCUUUGAGAAGCUUUACCCGGGAUGACCUGAAGGAUCUCUUUCCAGGCCAUGAAAAUUUCUUCCGGAGAAAGAAGCUUUGGAAUUUCAUAAUCCAACAGACUGCUGAACAAGAUGCCAACACUUGCCAUCGAAGUGGGAGUAAACCCUUAGGCUUUGUUGUGUCUGAAUGUCAGCCACAAACUUCCACUCCCAUUUCCUACACUGCUCACAAAACAAUGAAAAUGCCAGACCCACCAGAGUAUGUGGUGUAUACAGAUUCAGAACUGGACAUGGUGCGCAGUCAGUACUUUGCAUUGCUUCACAGUGGAAAGGAAAAGGACUGUAAGAUGUCGAAGGAGCUCUGUUGCAGACUUAUAAGGAACACAGUCACCAGCAUGGUUGCAAUCCUCCGUGCUAGUCCCAUGGGGAAAGAAGUAGGAUACCCCUCCAAACUUGAAAUGAGAGCAAUGUCACAGAAGAUUGUCGACUAUUACCCUAUCUUACGUGAUGCUGACACACACAUGCCAUAUGUGACCAUCUACACCAAACUGUACAAACGACUCCAAAAUAUGAAGACCCCAAGGAGGAAACAGGGUUCCAUGCUGCAGCGAGGCAGGCCCAGGAAGGUUAUUUUCAGCUCAGACAACUUAGACAAUGGAACUGAAGGUGACUUAAGUGGCGAAGCAAGUGGUUCAAGUGACUAUACCAUACUUGACCUCAGCAAGGACAACUCAAAUGCAGAGAAAGCAUCAAAAUUCCAUCUACACUCUACUGUACCAACACAGUCAAACAAUAAUACCCUGGCUUCACCACUAUUAUCUAAGUCAGCCUCGUGCUCUGCACCCAGGGCUGCUAUAGGUCCACCAACUCCAGAUGAUGAUGUUGCAGACCAUGACAGCCUGAAGAUGCAGGCAAGACAUUACAAAACCUUGAGCAACAUGUAUAAGAAACCAAAUGCAAAACCCAACCAAAGUGACAUUGCUCAAAUUUUGGACCUGGAGUUUGAGGCCAGACGAGUUUUUAUUGAUGCAGAUGUUACAAGGGAAGAAGACAGGCCCAGAAAAAUAUUUGAAGCAUACCCGUGCUUCAAAGAUAUUCGAAAUGUAAGCCUAGCUACCUUCAAUUAAAUUCCUUGCUUUUCUCUGGAUAGGGUUCUUGACUAACUGAGCACAACUUUGUCAUAGGCGAUGGAUGAACUGUGUCGCAUCGUUGGUGGCUUCAACUGCAUAUACAUAGAUCAAAUGAAGGGUCGAUGGGCAGAGUUUUGUUCGAAAGUGCAGUUCUAUGGCAUUUGGAAGAAACCUCCUCUCCCCUUGGAUGUACGUGGAGGUAAGUGGCCUUUUCAUACAUUAAAUCCAUACAUCAGAUAUGUUCAGAGUACUUUAUUAAGAUACUUUUCUCUGUCCACAGUGGAGUUUACUGUCACUCUCUUCAAUACACUUCCAUCUCUUUUUCCUUCACCAACUACACCACCAAAGCGGCUGGGAAGUGCCAGUGAGGCUCUCCUUCAUAUCCUCAAGGUGAGAACAGCUGUUAGCAAUACCAGCCACUGUAACUUGCACUCCAUUUAAUUGUAUUAUUAUUAUUAUCAUUAUCAUUAUAUUAUUUUGCUUUUCAUGCUUAAUAAGAGAGGGUCAAAGUUCAAUUCAGCAGGGAUUAAAUUACUCCUUCUUCAGGAUUUCUAAAUUGUCAUUUAAAACCUACUCCAGAGAGGCAGCGCAGAGCAAAAGCACAUUGCAGUUGGGAUACAAGUAAAAUUGGUAAAAUUAUUUAUAUAAGGCCUUCAAAAACUAGAAUAUGUAACAAAGUUUUUAAAAAAUGUUUAAAAAAACCAUUGAGAAAAAAAGCACAAAUAUACAUGAUAAAAAGGCUGUAAACUAGAGAAAAUUCAUGCUCAUUUCCAAAAUUUCAUUUAUUUCUUCUAUUCCAACAGUAAAUCAUUCUAAACAUUCUUGAUUUUGCUUUUUGUGUCUUAAGCUGUUUGGAUGCACAGCAACCCUUUCAUUUAAAAUCUUGAAGAAUUUGUCCUUUUUUUGUGCUUUUCUAGCCAGGUGAAGAUGCUAUGCUAUACCUGGAGAAGCGGCCUCUCUCCUCCCCAGUGCUGCUUUUUGAUGGGACAACCAGCAUUGUUGCUGUAGGAAACAUACCAGUGACCACUCUCCCCUUGGAGGAUUUCUGGGAAGGAAUGUUGGUGUUGAUGGCAUAUUACUACACCUUGCACUUAACAUACCCGAAAUGUGUUGCAACGGUCCUCUCUGUCGUACAGACUGAGGUAAUCACUGAUGCCAUCCAUGAUCAAGAUGCCCCUUGUGCAUACAAGAAAGCAAUAGCUGAGUGGAAGUCAUUCUUUGAAAAAUAGGUGAAUACCAAGCAGAAUUUUAUCAGGUCAUUUGCUGUUUGUUUAGUUUUGUAGUACGUUUGUACAACUUUGUUCCUAAUUUGCCUAGCAAUGUCCUGAGAAACUGCUUUACUUAUAAUGCCUUACAAAUGAAAGUUGUUUUUUUUUUUCUUAAUGACACUUUACCUGAGGCAUGUAAAGUUUUAAAUCAGUAAUGCCGUUAUUUACAACAUUGUGAGAUUAUGUGACUCUCACAAAAGUUUAAGGCCAAAAAUGUAAUUUUUUUUCUCUGUUUAGGCCUUUUAAAGGGUUGAUUUAGACUUUAGAGAUUGUGCAGCAGCCCUAUAUUGUUUUAAAAAAGGGUUUUGUUCUCAUGAGAGGAAUAAAUGUUGACAUAUAUCACUCUUGUCCUGGCUGU